rnacentral:rRNA from 1 species
GCCUACGGCCAUACCACCCUGAAAGCGCCCGAUCUCGUCUGAUCUCGGAAGCUAAGCGGGGACAAGCUUGUUUAGUACCUGUAUGGGAGACCGCCUGGGAAUACCAGGUGUUGUAGGCU